UACGUAGGGAGCGAGCGUUGUCCGGAAUUACUGGGCGUAAAGGGUGCGUAGGUGGUUUCUUAAGUCAGAGGUGAAAGGCUACGGCUCAACCGUAGUAAGCCUUUGAAACUGGGAAACUUGAGUGCAGGAGAGGAGAGUGGAAUUCCUAGUGUAGCGGUGAAAUGCGUAGAUAUUAGGAGGAACACCAGUUGCGAAGGCGGCUCUCUGGACUGUAACUGACACUGAGGCACGAAAGCGUGGGGAGCAAACAGG
rnacentral:rRNA from 1 species